rnacentral:rRNA from 1 species
UACGAGUGCCUCAAGCGUUAUCCGGAAUCAUUGGGCGUAAAGGUUGUGUAGGUGGUUAUAUUAGUCUUUUGUUAAAUUCUUCGGCUUAACCGGGGGCAUGCAAAGGAAACGGUAUGACUAGAGGAUGCGAGGGGUCUGCGGAACUCAUAGUGUAGCGGUGAAAUGCGUUGAUAUUAUGGGGAACACCAAAAGCGAAGGCAGCAGACUGGAGCACUCCUGACACUGAAACAAGAAAGCGUGGGGAGCAAACGGG